UGGAGAAAUACCCAAGUCCGGCUGAAGGGGACAGACUCGAAAUCUGUUAGGCGGGUCUAACUCGCGCCGGGGUUCGAAUCCCCGUUUCUCCGUCC
rnacentral:tRNA from 1 species